GGUUCCAAGUUACUGUGAAUCAAAAGAGAAGCUCACAUGAAAUUCAGAAGGCUGAAGUGAAGCAGAGAUAUUUUGGAAGAUUGGGAGAGACAAAGACAGUGAUGGACAGACACAAAGUUAUGUGUUUGUUCUGAACACA